GGCUUGAUAGCUCAGUUGGCAGAGCACUGCACUGAUAUUGCAGAGGUCAUGGGUUUGAAUCCUGUUCAAGCCU